UCUAAUCAUCAUCGAAGAAGUUGUAUGUAUAUUUCUAUGUCCUCGUUUUUAAUUUUGCACUCAAAGUCUAAGUUGUGAAACUUGGAAUUGGCCAAAAACAAACAAAUAAUCUCAAUACACCAAACAAGAAGUGACGGUCAAUUAAAUUGAGUAUAUUAUUAGGCCAUGUUGAUGUAUUUGGUGGGCUCGAGAAGAUUACACCAAGACCCAAACUGAAAAACUCAAUCAGCUCAAACCAGCUAAAGGAAACCUUUCUCUGAAAAACCGUGCGCUAAAAGCAAAAUCUGUGUGAAGGCUUAAUACCUUAUACAUUGAUGAUCAGAGAGCUCGAGAGAGAAGAGAGAAAAGGAGGGGAAAUAUUGUCUGUUUAUCUUGAGGAAGAAAACUGAGAAAGGGGUGAUGAUUUAGUAAGCAAGAAAUGCAAAAGGAAGAAGAAGAAGAAGACCAAUCUUUAACGUGGUUCCACAAUAACAAGGCCUACAUCCACUUAGGAGCUGAUUUGUUAUUCAGUCUUGGAGAGAUUUUUGGGUACAGAUAAGUUGGCAAGAAGAAC